rnacentral:misc_RNA from 1 species
AAGUCGUAACAAGGUCUCCGUAGGUGAACCUGCGGAGGGAUCAUUAACACGGGAAAGAAAGGGCGGAUGCCGAUCAAAAGGCGGAAGCCCCCAAUUCCGAUCGACAACCAACCGCGUGAACUCAACCCCAAAAAGCCAAAACCAACACCGCUGUCUGUCAGCUGUGUUGUGUUUGUGGUUUUUCUGUGUUUUUUUACCCAAACCUUUUCCAACCGCCUUUUUUUUCUUUUUUUUCUCUUUGUUUUCACAGUGUGGGCUUUGUGCUCAUCGUCUGUGUCAACAAUGACAAAAAUGCAAAUGAAAAGCACAACUCUUAGCAACGGAUAUCUUGGUUCUC